UGAGGAAUAUUGGUCAAUGGACGCAAGUCUGAACCAGCCAAGUAGCGUGCAGGAUGACGGCCCUAUGGGUUGUAAACUGCUUUUAUAUGGGGAUAAAGUGGGGAACGUGUUCCCUUUUGCAGGUACCAUAUGAAUAAGGACCGGCUAAUUCCGUGCCAGCAGCCGCGGUAAUACGGAAGGUUCGGGCGUUAUCCGGCUUUAUUGGGUUUAAAGGGAGCGUAGGCCGUUUGGUAAGCGUGUUGUGAAAUGUAGGAGCUCAACUUCUAGAUUGCAGCGCGAACUGUCAGACUUGAGUGCGCACAACGUAGGCGGAAUUCAUGGUGUAGCGGUGAAAUGCUUAGAUAUCAUGAAGAACUCCGAUUGCGAAGGCAGCUUACGGGAGCGCAACUGACGCUGAAGCUCGAAGGUGCGGGUAUCGAACAGG
rnacentral:rRNA from 1 species